AUGGCAGAGAACCCGGCUGCUGCUGCAGUUAAUCACGGCGAAGGCCUCCGGCUACCGGAGACGUCGUCGAUAUGCGUCACGGAGAGCGCCGCACACAACUUCGAGGUGACCAAUUAUGCGCUGCUCCAGGGCCUGGGCGUCGGGAAGUACAUCACCUCAAGCACAUUCAGGGUCGGCGGCUACGAUUGGAAUAUCAUGUUCUACCCGGACGGAAGCAGGAAGGACUUUGCCGGCAACGCGUCAGCCUUUUUGUGUUGUCUCAGUAAGGGGAAGGACGAGGUGAGGACAAAAUUCACCUUAACCCUGCUGGACGGUCAAGGCAAUGCACAGGAAAUCAACAAGGAUUACGUAGCAGCGCACAUCUUUUCUCUGGAAGCUCCGAACAUGGGCUUCCCGAAAUUCGCAGAGAAAUCCAAGCUGAAAUCCUCAUCUCACCUCCUGACUAUACGGUGCGUUCUCACCGUGAUCAAGGAACCGCCCACGGAGUGCCGAAAAAAUCUCAUCGUAGUUCCACCGUCAAAGCUGCCCGGCAACAUCGAGCGCACCCUCAAGGACGGGAAGGGCGCAGACGUCACGCUGCUCGUGGGCGGCAGGGAGUUCAGUGCGCACAGGUUCAUGCUAGCCGCACAGUCGCCGGUUUUCGACGCACAGCUCUUUGGCCCGAUGAUGGACGAGGACACGCGGUGCAUAGAGGUUGUCGACAUGGACCCGCCCAUCUUUGAGAUGCUUCUUCACUACAUCUACAUGGAUUCGCUGCCCCCGUGUGACGAGAAAGGUUGCGAUGCUGCUUCCAUGCAGCACUUGCUAGUCGCGGCAGAUCGGUACGGGCUGGAUAGGCUCAAGGUGAUGUGUGAAGAGGAGCUGUCGAAAAGCAUCAACGUCCACACCGUCACGAGUACAUUGGCGGUUGCGGAUCAGCACUUCUGCGAGGGGCUCAAGAAUGCUUGUGAGGAGUUUCUUUCAGCGCCGGGAAUAGGGGCCAUUGUGUCUUUAAGAAACGGGUUCAAACGCAUGAUGGCAAAGCUAGAAUCCAGGGGCAAGGAGGAGGCAUCUGGCACGCUGACCAAGUAA
rnacentral:rRNA from 1 species